UCGGUGAAGGUUAGAGAUCUGGCGGUGCAGGUGGUUUAAUCGGUGAAAUAGUCCGAUUAAUCGGUGGAAUGAGUGGUUGAUCGGUGGAAAGGUUUCGAAUAUGUGCAGAGGAAGUUCUAAACGGGAGAAUGAAAGAUAUGGUUCGUUGAGGAUGCGAGAGAAUAACAAUUCAUUCAAAUUUUCUCGUUAUAAGCCAGUAAUUCUUUGGCUUCUGAAGGAACCUGCCGCGAAGACUACCUUAGGUUAAACAAGGCUGCGUUCGUCAAAGAAUUGAUGGCUGCACAUGAUAUCCUGCUUGAUGACCUAUUAAGAAUAAGCAGAGGAAUUAAACAAACUAUUGUUUUGGCGGGAAUUAAUUUUGAGCCAGAUGUUACUAAGUCAUUAAAUUCUCCNUCUCUUGCUCAUGAGAAAAAUGNUGAUGAUGGGAAAUCACUUCUAUUGUCUGAUGGGACAAAAUCCAAUGUUGAGUUUUGGGAUGAUAUGCUAAACUUGUUCUAGUCUAUUGGGAAUCAACUCUUAUUUAUCUGGAAUACAUUUAUGAAAUUUUACAGGUAUACUCAAAUUUAUUUAUUUAGUAAUUUAACAAUAGAAUUAAGGUUGUUACGUAUUUUCNGAGAAAAGAUGCAUUCAUAUAAGUAUCUUCGAGCAUAACUUUAAGCUGUCAAUGACAUCAACUUUUGUCUUCGCUUUUAUUCUCAUUCCUUCAUCAGGGAAAAUAAAACAAAGAUACUGGAAUUUCUGCGUAACUCAUGGGCUAACGAUCGAAAAACUGAGUGGUCAAUAUGGAUGAUGUACUCCAAGGUUGAUAUGCCUNACUAGUACAUGAGUAAUGGAGUUGAAGAGGCUUGUUAAUGUUUUAUUUUGUUAUUCCGUUAAAGUAUAUCUUAUUCUCUGCUUUUUAUUUUAUGUUUAUGCUACCUUUAACCUUUAAAAGGAAUUUUUCUUUUUCACAUGUUAUUGGUUUUGACUGAUUCAUGUGGCUGACCCUCCUAGUCUGAUUGUUAUUGUGCUU